ensembl:lncRNA
GAGGAGGAGGUAAGACAGGCUUCAGCAGCCAUGAGGCCACUUCAGUGUGCUAGCCAGCUAACUGGUUCUGCCUCGAGAUCUUCCACAGGAAAACUCGGUCUGUAGUGUGCCCAGCACACCUGUAGGCUCCAGCAGGACUUUCAGCUGGUUGUGGAUUGCUGUACCCAGUGGCAGGGGUGUAAUGAAAAAAGCUUGCAGUUCUGUACUGUCCGUUCUAUCGCUGAAACUGUGCUGGAGGCAGCAGUAAUUACUACAUACAGAAAUUAAGUGUGAUUGUGCCUUCUGAGUAGACGUGGCUGAGAAUUGCAUCAAAACUGUAUUUAUUAAGCUCUGAGUUGCUCAGUAGUUAAUACUCUCUUUUGUUUGUUUUCUUGCAUCCUCAAGUCGAGGAAGCUCUUGCCUGUGCUGUUAGCACAGGUCUUACAGUAGAAUGGCUGCAUCUUUAUGGUUUCCUUAUCUCAAUCACGUUUCAGUAGGUUGUUCUCUCACUUCCAGAGCACCAUUAAUGCUGUGUGGAAAUGAGAGUCGCCAGGUCUUUACUGUCUCCCUUGUACAUUCAGGUGCUUGGCCAAGAGAGCCGUGUUCUGUGUGCCCGUGGGACCUUCGGCUGGUAUUCCUAGAGAUGGUCCUUAGAUACCAGGACAGUCACUCUUCAUCAGAGAAUACUGAAAAAUGAACACUUGCAACAGGGUUGUCUCCUUUCUUAGGCAUGGCUUUGUCAUCUGCAGCUGUUUGGAGGAGGAGGAAGCGGCCUCUGCCAUUCUUCUUUGCUGUUCCAACUCGCAGAGCCAUGCAAAACAACAGAAUGGAGGCAGGAAGCCUCAUGUUCUGGCCAGCGAUGGCUGAGCUUUUGAAGGAGAAAAAGCCCAGAUUGGGAACUCAGCAGCGCGUGGCUGCUGUGAGCACAACAGCAAAGGAGCACCAGGAGCGGCCCCUUCAGCGCCCGGACACGGAUCCCAUUCUGCAGUUGGCAGGGAGGCACAGGAGCAGCAUGCAGCAUUCUGCUCUUGUUACAGGUGGUUCUGCACCAUGGCUUACUCCUUGUAUCGAAAAACUUUCCCACCUUAAUUCCAUUGGCUUCCUAUCCCAGGAGAGCUGAUGCUGGCUCACCGGCAGCGGCACAGCCACACCAAAUUGCGCAGUGUAGAGUGAGAGAAGGGCUCCUGCUCUCUUUGCUGCAGGCAGAGGAGCUUUCUGGUGGAUGAUUGAUGGCCUUUACCCCGCGGUCGUGGUCCCGCUGCCCUCCCCCCCUCCCGCUGUGGCGGUGUCACUUCGCUCUGCUCUGCUGCGCUGUCUCCUUUUCUCCCCUCGGCCGUCGGUCCCACCCGCACCGCUCGGUGCAAACCUCGCCCCGCACAAAGGCUCACCCUGCCCGGCAGCCAACCUUCUCCGUGGCCGCGAGAAGCCUUUCUUUGUUUCGGUUUGUGUUUAAAGCUGGCCAGCUUCUGUUCUGUGGGGACACAGCGAGGCGCAGCCCUUUCCCCACGGCUGCCAUUCCUGCUCGGAAACCGCAGAUCUGUGCUGAUGCUCUUAGAAAUGUUCAGUACUGUAUAACAAGGGGCACUUUAGAAAUGUCUCUCCUCCUUUGAAAUAUGUGUUUUCCCUAUGGAGAAAGCUAUAUAUAAAUAAAUAUAUGUGUACACUUGGGGAUUCAGAAGAUCUAAUUUGUCCCAAAAACAAAUCAAUAAAUACGAAGUUU